rnacentral:misc_RNA from 1 species
UUUUUUCAUUUCAUUAUCGAAGAUAAGGAAUCGAGAAGAUCACUUAUAUAGAUGUAGUUAUAAAUCCACUGGGGUUUUAAUAUUAUCCAUUCGAAAUCAAUCGAAUAGGUAACAAAAGUAAAUCGAGAUUCGAUAAAUAAAUAUCGAAAAAGAUUAAAUCCGCGUUACGCAAAAAGACCGAAGUCUUCUUGUUAUGUUUUGGAGGUGUGGUAAUGAUCCUUCCGCAGGUUCACCUACGGAAA